UCAGUAGCUGAGUGGAUAACGUGAUGGCGUUUGAAGCGAAAGGUACUUGGUUCGAGUCCCAGAGUGA
rnacentral:tRNA from 1 species